rnacentral:lncRNA from 1 species
UGCAAGGUAUUAACACUCUUCACUCUCGUUGAGUCAUGUUGUCUUUGAUGAUCUGCAGUCUUUGUUCUGUCUAUAGUAUCUCUUUGAAGCUUCACAAUUUUAUGCCCAAAAGGUCUUUACUUUUUUUUGUUUUAUUUUUUUAUUAGAUAUUUUCUUUAUUUACAUUUCAAAUGUUAUCCCCUUUCCUAGUUUCCCCUCCGAAAAUCCCCUAUCCCCUCCCAGAUCUUUCCUUUUUACUUAGUUAUAUUUCUGUGUUCCUUUGUACUUACGGUUUUUUGUUUUGUUUUGUUUUGUUUUGUUUCUCCUAAUUGCUGUGCUCAGUGGUAUCUUGUUUUAGAAGGCAGUUUUUGUUUAUUGCUGAUUUAUGGAGACUAGGGGCAGGAAACACCCUUCCCACGAAGCAGGAACUCUGUGAAGGUGCUGUUUUCAAUCCAGCCUCUGAUAAAAGUGUGAGGAACCACACCAUUCUGAAGAGGAAAGGAUCAGGAGCUAGACUAGCAAAGUGCCUGGGCCACUAGCCACCUCCAGACAUAGAUCCUCAACUUCCCUGCUAGGAACAGGCUCCAGCCCAGCCCAGACUAACUUCUGAUAUUAGGGUCAUUAUAAAAACUGUCCUUGUUCACAGAUGAAAGCUAAAUCCUGAAUUAUCACACAAGAAAAUAACUUAGCCUCACUGGCUUUUCUGUUUCUCGGGUUAAGAUCCAUGACCCAGAAGAAAAAUAGCAGUUGAUCAGCCCCUCAGAACACUAGUAGUGUAUUAAAAAAAGCAUUUGUUGAAGUUUUAUCUAGAAACUUUACUAAAAUUCUCAUUAAUACUAAUAACUUUUCUAAUAGUUGUCUAUUCUCAGGUUUUCUGAGAAAUUAAUCACACUAUUAAUAAAGAUGUGCUGACUUUGGUUUUCAAAUCUAUAAUGGCUUGUUUUUCUCUUGCUUUAUUCUGUUAAGAAAUCCCAGAAAAUCCUUCAGUAAAAAGGGGGCACCCUAAUGGCAGAGAUGAUAACAGGAACCCUAGUGAAAUAUACAUAAUAAUGGAUACCCUAGUGAUAUACGCAUGAUAGUCUGCACUCUGGCAAUUUGUGAUUUCAGAGAAACGGCUUUGAACUUUCCACAUUGAGAAUGCCACUAAACAGUUGUUACAGCUCUGGGUAGCUAGGGGUUUACUACAUCCAAUAGGAGGGACUACAGUUGUAUAGAACUGAUUUGUUGUUGGCUUUGGCAUCUGUUAAGAUGAUAGUUUUUGUUUGUUUCCAUUAGAGUACAUAAGUUACAUUAUUUCCUAAAGUUGAGCCAACUUUAGUCUUGUAAUAAACCUUAUUGUGUCAUGAUCAUUUGUGUAUAUCAUAGAUUAUUGUUUGUUCUAAAACUGUUCAAUCUGCCUUUGUUCUUCAGUUAGACUGUAAUUUUCCUUUUGCAGACUGCCUUCUCUUGCUUUAAUAUUAAAGAUAUAAGCCAUUAUGUGGCCUCUAAUACUAUUUGCUCAAAGAGUCUGCUUGAUGUUGGAAUGAUCUCUUCUGGGUGGUCCCAAGACACCACUGAAGCCAUGCGGGUCUCAGAUUUUCUUUGUGAGAAGGUUUACACACAGAUUUAUUUUACUUACAAGAUUAGCUAGGUAUUCUGUUCCUUUUUUGGUUGAUUAUAGAAGCUGUAAUUUUUCUAGGAAUUUGUCCAUUGCCUCAGACAUUUCAGGUUUAAAAUACUCGUCACAGUUUGCUCCUUAACCUCAGCUGCAUCCAUAUCCACCUAACUCCUUUUGUUUCGUUCUCAGGCUGGUUAUAGAUGGUCUCUCCUAGGAUUUUACUAGAGUUGAACUGGCUUACUAUUCUUUUCAGUAAACUAAUCUCUUGUUCUUUGCAUUAAUAUAUUAAUACUAAUAUUCUAAUUCCAGUCUCAAAUCAACCCCCCCCAUUGGUGAUUAAACCCAGACUUCACACAUGCUAGGCCAUUGCGCUAUGUCCCCAGCCUUUUGGUUUGGUUUUUUCCCACUUCUUAUAUUGAGACAGGGUCUCCGACUGUUGCCCAGGCUGACCUUAACUAUGUGCUGUGGAGAUCCCCUCCCACUGCCUACCAAGAAGCAGGAAUUGGAGGCAUAAGCACAAUGUGACUUCCUUCUGUUCUUUAAAGGCUUUUGUUUUGAGGCCAGCCUGGUCUACAGAGUGAGUUCCAGGACAUCCACAGGUACACAGAGAAACCCUAUCUAUAAAUAAAUAAACAAAUAAAUGCUUUUGUUGUUGGUAUUGUUCUUUCAUGAUACCUUGCAUUACCUGACUAGCCCAUUAGUUUUCAUCCUGUCUUUUCUACUAUAAAAUGGUAAGAUUUCAUGUAUGUGCCACUGUCGCUCCAGCCCACACACUUUGAUAUUUUCAUCAACUCUAGCAUUCAGAUACCAUCUUCUAAUUUGUGUUUCAGUUUUCCCUUAAGCCCUUGGACACAUACAUAUGUAUGUAUCUUUUCUACAUACCUACGUGGUUUCUAUUUAGCUUUCUGUUAUCUUUUUAUUUAUGUGUAUAUGUUCUCUCUGCAUGCAUGUCUGUUUACUACUUGUAUGCCUGAUGCCUGCAGAAACCGGAAAAGGAUGUUGGAUGCCCUGCAACUAGGGUUAUAGGUGGAUGUGAGCCACCAUGUGGAUUCUGGGAAUGGAACCUGGCUCUAGAUCUUCUGAGCAGCCAGUGCUCUUAAGUGCUGAACCAUCUCUGCCCCCCUGCUCCUCCUUUUCUAAUUUUGCUACUGGAACACUUCUGGAGAUAUGGGUGAACUGUGCCAUCCUGUAGGGUAUGACUGGUCCAGACAGGUUGCUGACUUUGGCCACCCUUUGGAUCCUCUUCUUUGUUCUCUUGGAUGCCAAUCUUAUUCCUGACUCUUUUGCAUUAUUCCACUCUUCCUUUGAGGAUUAUUUAUAGUGCCCCCCUUCAGACUAUUAUUUAAUUAGUUUGAAAGCUAUACUUUGCUUGGCAGUGGUGGUGCAUGCCUUUAAUCCCAGCACUCAGGAGGCAGAGGCAGGUACAUCUCUGUGAGUUACAAGUCAACCUGGUCUACAGAGGGAGUUCCAGGAAAGCCAGGGCUACACGGAGAAAUCCUGUCUCAAAAG